rfam:Pseudonocardia sp. HH130629-09, complete genome.
UGCUGAGCCCCGCGGCGCCACCCGACCCCCGACUCGGUAGCGCCGCGGGGCGUUCCA